ensembl:lncRNA
CUGGCUGUUCCCUGAGCUGUGUGAGGCCUUUUAUGCCACCACUCGGGGCCCAGACGUAAUUUUAUGACCUUCCCUGUCACUUACUCCUGUCAAGAAGUUUGUUUUCCUUCAAUUAUAAAACUAGUAUAUGCUCCUUAGAAAAUAUCUGUCAAUGCCUCCUUUUUCUGGGCGUUUGUGCCCACCAGUAGGAUGGAAGGGGUUCUGCUGAUUACCUAGUGCGGGUCUGCCCUGACAGUUGGGAAACCAAGGCCCAGAGAGGGAGGGAGUGGCCAGCCCAGAGGCCCUGGGGUAGUAGGAGCACAGACUGAGACCCAGGUUCCUGCUUCUGAUCAGGAUCGUCCCCGCACUGCCUGGAGCUCCCAGCCCCCUCGGCCCUAACCUUGGGCUCUGGCCUAGGUGUGCCUAGAGGGGCCAGAGCGAUGUGUGGAAUGACGGAGGCCUAGAGGGAAAAGAAGGGGCCGGUCCCUGGACUUCUGCUGACGGUGUGGCAGAGAUGAGGCCCUGUCAGGCCGCUUGUGGUUCUUGAUGCCCAUUCUGCCCUUGGGACCCGACGGCAAUGGGGGCAGGGAGCCAGCGUUGCAGUGAACAGAAACAUCCGGAUUGGAAACCUGUCUCUGAGGCCCUGAAGCUUUUCCUAGUCUUCCCUGGCAACUCUCCAUCCCAAGGAAGUUCCAGAAAGAACCCCAGGGGGGCCUCCCUCCUACGGCAAAGCAGACCUCCCCUUCCACUUCCAGUGCAGCGCUAAGUCAGAACUGCCCAAGGAAGAUUCUGCCCACGUUUAUCUCAAACUGGUCUGCAGGCCCUCGGGCUGGGACCCGUCCCAGGAGCUGCCCAUCUGCAAAGAGGUGCGUGCCACUUCCUGCGGGCCCCUUCCUGCAGGCUUCUUCCUGGCGGGCCCCUUCUGGGGGCACCGGCUACUCCACAUGACUCGGAUCUCAAACCUGGGGCUGCUCAGGGGGCAUGGAGUUGGGGGCAUAGCUGGGGGCGGUGGUGUGGCCGGGGGUGAGGUGUGGCAGCUGGGGAGCCGCGGUUGGUAGAGACGGGGGUCCACACCUGCCCCUGCCGCUGGGUUCCCAGAUGCCUCUGUGUUUUUCACCUGCCCUCACCCCGUCCCUCCAGUGAAAUGCAAAUCAGCAAGUACAUAAUAGAUAAUUAAUAGACUGAUCAGCCGGCAGGGAGGUAAGUAGAUAAAUAAUUUUAAUUAUCUUUGGGUUGCCCAUAAAUUCCCGCACUGCCUUUUCAUUAAACUCUGUUUACAGGCGUCGUCUAUACUGCAUAUCAUUUUGUGGAUGCCUCCCCCACUUCCUUAGUGGCUCCCACCAGAUCUGACCUGGGGGGGGAUGUGUGGGUCGUGGCGGGUUCUUUCCUCAGGGCCGGGCUCUGGCACAGGUGGCAGAAAGCUCUGCCUGGGGAGCGGGGCUGGGUGGCAGCAGGCAGACCACGCUCAGUGCCCCGACGCAGCCACAGCCUAUAUUUAGGCAACUCGGGAAGCUUUAUUAUGCUUGGCACCUGCGCUGAAGGUCUGAGCUCAUUGUCCUCCCCAGGGACGGCUUCGGCCUAUUAAUAGCCUUGGCUGAGGUUUCCUUAUUGCUCCGAAGGCCAAGAGAGAAAGUGGGUUAAUAAAUAUAAAAGAAAACUCUCUCCUCAGUGCCCCGACGCAGCCACAGCCUAUAUUUAGGCAACUCGGGAAGCUUUAUUAUGCUUGGCACCUGCGCUGAAGGUCUGAGCUCAUUGUCCUCCCCAGGGACGGCUUCGGCCUAUUAAUAGCCUUGGCUGAGGUUUCCUUAUUGCUCCGAAGGCCAAGAGAGAAAGUGGGUUAAUAAAUAUAAAAGAAAACUCUCUCAAGAGGGCCUGGGGCCAAACUCUCUCCCAG